GGACGAUGUAUGGAAAGUCUGAGCAUGGGAAGGAGCUGUGUGAGGCAGGGAAGAUGAAAUCUCUGGAAAUAUUUGCUGUUAGGUCUUAGUAAAUCCCUAUGGAAUAUUUGGUAACUCUGUUUUUUUCCACUUCUUGAAACAGUUGACCAAAUUUGAAAAGCUUCGUGGGGAUGGCAGAAGUCAUAUGCAUGAUUCAAAGGAAGAGAAAGAUCUGUCUUUGCUCUGAAACCUCUUAAAACACAGGGCUUCCAGUAUGGGACAUCCUGACUGGUAAGGAAUCACGGGUGAACUGUCCAUCCUGUCACACUGAGCAGAAAGUUUGCUACUGAUUUCAAAGAACUGAGAUUUUUACCCACAGGAAAUCAAGCACGUAUAAAGAUCACCGCCCAGCUCUUCAGCAGCCCUCCAUCCAGAGGAUGAGUCAUCUGCCAGCAGAACAGAAGGGCACUGGUGGGAGCUCUAUUCCAAAGAGCAUGCAAAGAAUUAGAGGAACGAAAGGAAUUGCUCUUCUUUCUUCAAGUUCUGGAUAACAGAUGGGAGAAGCAGGAGGUGUCAUAUCUUGACUGUUAUCGACACUGACGUGCAUUAUUCUUCCACCCAAGACAGAAACACAGUUUAGAGGAAACUAAUACAGGAUGAGUACAAAAUGGUUAUGAAGUCAUUCACCAGAAGCACUGAUCGACAGAGAAUUGUUGAAAUUGAAGGCUGUAUAAGAGCUGUCUGGGCUGUAACGCAAUGACCACACAUCGGGAGCGUGCUGCAACUCACUGGGAGCUAACAGACGGAAUUGCUGCAGGCAGCAGGGUGCCUUCUGGGUCCCCAGGAGAUGAUCAUUCCCGAAGGGGCUUCUAAGCUAAGGAGGCAGUAUCCGGACCGGAGCAGGAGCAGAGGACACCGUGCUGACACAGCCGCGUCUCCCCAGCCGCAAAUAGGCGCGCUGCGUGCCUCAAACCACUUCCAUUUGUAUCUGCGCAGACGGAUGUCAGAGAUAUUGAGCAACGUCUCUCUGUGCCCUUCAGUACGCAAAUCAACCCCGUUUCUCUUCCCGGAAUUUCCCCUAGAGCGGUUAUUAAUUAGAGACAGAGAAGCAGCAUUGGCUUAUCUAUUAAAACGAUGAAAUGUAAAUUCAGAUGGAUGCAGAGAAACACUUAUUUUCUCUAUUUACUCUCAAUUUGCAUCUCGAUGAGUCAAAUCCCCACAGUCUCAUCGCCAAGCCAAACAAAUUCAUCAGCGAUUGAAGUCGCCCCGUGGGAUCGUGCAGCACCACGCGUGGCUUUCGUGAGCGCUAUUUAGAAGGCGCUCAAAGAGCUCCACCGGCUCUCAGCGUGCGGGCACCGGCGGGCGGCUGAUGUCCCGGGGCACGGGGAAGGCUUACAGAACCCAGCGACGUAAAAAGGGAGGAAAGCACCAGGUGUAGAGAAACCAAAAGGAGCCGACGUUAGCAGCUGGAGGCAAAAUACUGAUUUUAUUAUUUUAUUUUUUUUCCAUCCGGG
ensembl:lncRNA